CAUGUACUCCCUCCGUCCGGAAAUAUUUGUCGCAGAAAUGCAUAAAAAUGGAUGUAUCUAGAACUAAAAUACAUCUAGAUACAUCCAUUCCUUCGACAAGUAUUUUCGGACGGAGGGAGUACGCA
rnacentral:pre_miRNA from 1 species